rnacentral:pre_miRNA from 13 species
AUUGUCAGUGAAACGAGUUUAUCUCAUCCUAAUCUGGUCGCAUCAUAAAACUACCUGCUACCGAUU